AUACGGGUGCCAGAGGAGAAUGGGUUGGUUUUAAGCACCGAAUAGGGGUUUAUGACCCCCCGUAUA
rnacentral:tRNA from 1 species